UACGGAGGGUGCAAGCGUUAUCCGGAUUUACUGGGUUUAAAGGGUGUGUAGGCGGGUCUAUAAGUCAGUGGUGAAAUCUCCGGCUCAACCCGGAAACUGCCAUUGAUACUAUAGGUCUUGAAUAUUGUGGAGGUGGGCGGAAUGUGUCAUGUAGCGGUGAAAAUGCUUAGAGAUGACACAGAACACCGAUUGCGAAGGCAGCCCACUACGCAACUAUUGACGCUGAGGCACGAAAGCGUGGGGAUCAAACAGG
rnacentral:rRNA from 1 species